rnacentral:rRNA from 1 species
AAGGGACGAGCUACACAGCGAUGUGAUGCUAAUCUCCAAACCAUGCUCAGUUCGGAUCGGAGUCUGCAACUCGACUCCGUGAAGCUGGAUUCGCUAGUAAUCGCGCAUCAGCCAUGGCGCGGUGAAUACGUUCCCGGGCCUUGUACACACCGCCCGUCAAGCCAUGGGAGCCGGGGGUACCUGAAGUGCGUAACCGCGAGGAGCGCCCUAGGGUAAAACUGGUGACUGGGGCUAAGUCGUAACAAGGUACC